AGAGUUUGAUCCUGGCUCAGGACGAACGCUGGCGGCGUGCCUAAUACAUGCAAGUCGAACGCAUUUUCUUUCACUGUAGCUUGCUACACCGAAAGAAAAUGAGUGGCGAACGGGUGAGUAACACGUGGGUAACCUGCCCAUCAGCGGGGGAUAACACUUGGAAACAGGUGCUAAUACCGCAUAAUUCCAUUUACCGCAUGGUAGAUGGAUGAAAGGCGCUUUUGCGUCACUGAUGGAUGGACCUGCGGUGCAUUAGCUAGUUGGUGGGGUAACGGCCUACCAAGGCUGCGAUGCAUAGCCGACCUGAGAGGGUGAUCGGCCACACUGGGACUGAGACACGGCCCAGACUCCUACGGGAGGCAGCAGUAGGGAAUCUUCGGCAAUGGACGCAAGUCUGACCGAGCAACGCCGCGUGAGUGAAGAAGGUUUUCGGAUCGUAAAACUCUGUUGUUAGAGAAGAACAAGGACGAGAGUGGAAAGUUCAUCCCUUGACGGUAUCUAACCAGAA
rnacentral:rRNA from 1 species